UGGCCGGCCUCAUGCAAGGCAGGCGCGCGAACCAGGCCAGACCCUGACCGGAGCAACCUUAAGCGAUGCCCUGCCGGUGCCGUGAAUCGUCGGUCGCUC
rnacentral:SRP_RNA from 1 species